rnacentral:rRNA from 1 species
UACGUAGGGGGCAAGCGUUGUCCGGAUUUAUUGGGCGUAAAGAGCGUGUAGGCGGCCCGGUAAGUCCGCUGUGAAAGUCGGGGGCUCAACCCUCGAAUGCCGGUGGAUACUGUCGGGCUAGAGUGCGGAAGAGGCGAGUGGAAUUCCUGGUGUAGCGGUGAAAUGCGCAGAUAUCAGGAGGAACACCAGUUGCGAAGGCAGCUCGCUGGGACGUAACUGACGCUGAGACGCGAAAGCGUGGGGAGCAAACAGG